UCCUAGCCCAGAUAGAAGCGGCAUCCUUUUUCUUGCUCCUUUAGCAAGGAAAAGAUAUAGUGGAUGGCUGGAAAUUGC
rnacentral:sRNA from 1 species